rnacentral:rRNA from 1 species
GACGAACGCUGGCGGCGUGCCUAACACAUGCAAGUCAACUUGACUGAAGGAGCAAUCUGACAGUAGAGUGGCGCAAGGGUGCGUAACGCGUAAGUAACUUGCCCCAAGGUAAGGAAUAACGUCGAGAAAUCGGCGCUAAUACCUCAUAAUGCAGCGGAUCCGCAUGGAUAUGUUGUUAAAGGUUUACCGCCUUGGGAUAGGCUUGCGUCUGAUUAGCUAGUUGGUGUGGUAACGGCACACCAAGGCUACGAUCAGUAACUGGUCUGAGAGGAUGAUCAGUCACACUGGAACUGAGACACGGUCCAGACUCCUACGGGAGGCAGCAGUGAGGAAUAUUGGGCAAUGCUCGAAAGAGUGACCCAGCAACGCCGCGUGGAGGAUGAAGGUAUUCUAUAUCGUAAACUCCUGUGAGAGCAGACGAAAGACAGAUUAUUAAUCUGGAUGACUGUAUGCUC